ensembl:lncRNA
UUUAAUUAUUAAUUGAUAGAAAUAUAUUUCCUGCUGCUUUGAUCCCUUCAUAUAAUCAACAGUUUGCUUUUUAGUAUUGUCGUAACUACAGUGAAUGGAUGGUAUAUACAUAUAUUUCCUAUGAUUCUGCAUAUGCAUAUGCAUAUAAUACAUACUACUGUAUGAUAGAUAUAUUUUAGUUGCACUGGGAUCAUUUUGUACAAUCUGAAAAGCAACAAUUGUAAAAGACAGGAAAAAAAUGGCAAAGGCAACUCAAGGACAAAAUAGAGCCGAGAAUGGACCAUAACUUCUGUUAUUAUGAGUGUGUAAUCCAAAAUGCCUGUGGCGUCUCCUGGUAGGAGAUGUUUGUCAUUCAUUCAUCAGAGGAAGUUCAGUCAUCAUGAAACAAGAUCACAGGGACAGCAGUGACAGAACCCAGUGAUCUAACAGUGUUGUUGAGGGCUCCAAAUGCAAACUUUGCAUGCAACAAUCCUGCAGCAAUUGACAGUGCUCUGAUCCAAUGGCAUACAGGCUUUGUCAAAUUUGACUGUACUCUAGCCCAAUGAUGUUGAGGGAUCCAACAAUCCAGUAAAAGGGAUCCAGCAAAAGUGGGG